GACGAACCGUCCUAACGUUGUUCGGAAUCACUGGGCUUAAAGGGCGCGUAGGCGGGUUCCCAAGUCGGUGGUGAAAUCUUUCGGCCCAACCGGAAAACAGCCGCCGAUACUGGGAGUCUUGAGGGAGGUAGGGGUCGAUGGAACUUCCGGUGGAGCGGUGAAAUGCGUAGAUAUCGUAAGGAAGACCAGUGGCGAAGGCGGGUCUCUGGACAGUUCCUGACGCUGAGGCACGAAGGUCAGGGGAGCAAACGGG
rnacentral:rRNA from 1 species